rnacentral:rRNA from 1 species
UCACAGAAGGAUAGACAGAGCACGCCGUUGGUAGAGCGUGUCCAAGCAGUGAGGCUUGUGCGUAGGCAAAUCCGCGCACUAAAAGGCUAGGCUGUGAUGGGGAGGGAAAAAAGUACCGGAAGCUGUUGAUUUCACACUGUCAAGAAAAGCCGCUAGCGAGACCGUAGGUGCCCGUACCGCAAACCGACACAGGUAGAUGAGGAGAGAAUCCUAAGGUGAGCGAGAGAACUAUUGUUAAGGAACUCGGCAAAAUUACCCCGUAACUUCGGGAGAAGGGGUGCCAUCGAAAGAUGGCCGCAGUGAAAAGGCCCAGGCGACUGUUUAGCAAAAACACAGGUCUCUGCUAAAGCGAAAGCUGAAGUAUAGGGGCUGACGCCUGCCCGGUGCUGGAAGGUUAAGGGGACUGCUUAGAGCAAUCGAAGGCAUGAACUUAAGCCCCAGUAAACGGCGGCCGUAACAAUAACGGUCCUAAGGUAGCGAAAUUCCUUGUCAGGUAAGUUCUGACCCGCACGAAAGGCGUAACGAUCUGGGCGCUGUCUCAACAAUAGACUCGGUGAAAUUGUAGUACCGGUAAAGAUGCCGGUUACCCGCAGCAGGACGGAAAGACCCCGUGGAGCUUUACUGCAGCUUGAUAUUGGAUUUCGGCAUUGCAUGUACAGGAUAGGUGGGAGACUUUGAACUCAGUACGCCAGUAUUGAGGGAGUCACCGUUGGGAUACCACCCUUGUAAUGUUGAGGUUCUAACUUUGUACCGUGACCCGGUAUGAGGACAGUGUCUGGCGGGCAGUUUGACUGGGGCGGUCGCCUCCUAAAGAGUAACGGAGGCGCCCAAAGGUUCCCUCAGUGCGGACGGAAAUCGCACGAAGAGUGUAAAGGCAGAAGGGAGCUUGACUGCGAGACAAACAGGUCGAGCAGGGACGAAAGUCGGGCUUAGUGAUCCGGUGGUACCGAGUGGAAGGGCCAUCGCUCAACGGAUAAAAGCUACCCCGGGGAUAACAGGCUGAUACCCCCCAAGAGUCCACAUCGACGGGGGUGUUUGGCACCUCGAUGUCGGCUCGUCUCAUCCUGGGGCUGAAGUAGGUCCCAAGGGUUGGGCUGUUCGCCCAUUAAAGAGGUACGCGAGCUGGGUUCAGAACGUCGUGAGACAGUUCGGUCCCUAUCCGCUGUGGGCGUUGGAGAUUUGAGUGGAGCUGUUCUUAGUACGAGAGGACCGGGAUGGACAUACCUCUGGUGCACCAGUUGUUCUGCCAAGGGCAUAGCUGGGUAGCCACGUAUGGAAGGGAUAAGUGCUGAAAGCAUCUAAGUACGAAGCCCCCCACAAGACAAGAUCUCCUCCUUAAAGGUAAGACCCGUGAGAGACUAUCACGUUGAUAGGUCGGAGGUGGAAGUGCAGUAAUGCAUGGAGCUGACCGAUACUAAUAGGUCAAAAACUUGACCG